rnacentral:tRNA from 1 species
GUGGGCGUAGCUCAGUUGGUAGAGCCCCGGAUUGUGAUUCCGGUUGUCGUGGGUUCGAUCCCCAUCGCUCACC